rnacentral:misc_RNA from 1 species
GAUGAAGAACGCAGCGAAAUGCGAUAGUAAUGUGAAUUGCAGAAUUCAGUGAAUCAUCGAAUCUUUGAACGCACAUUGCGCCCGCCAGUAUUCUGGCGGGCAUGCCUGUUCGAGCGUCAUUUCAACCAUCAAGCCCCAGGCUUGUGUUGGGGACCUGCGGCUGCCGCAGGCCCUGAAAACCAGUGGCGGGCUCGCUGUCACACCGGGCGUAGUAGAUUUUAUCUCGCUCAGGGCGUGCUGCGGGUUCCGGCCGUUAAAAAGCCUUUUUUACCCAAGGUUGACCUCGGAUCAGGUAGGAAUACCCGCUGAACUUAAGCAUAUCAAUAAGCGGAGGA